UACGGGGGGGGCAAGCGUUGUUCGGAAUUACUGGGCGUAAAGGGCGCGUAGGCGGGCCCGUUAGUCAGGGGUGAAAUCCCACGGCCCAACCGUGGAAGUGCCUCUGAUACUGCGGGCCUCGAGGGAGGUAGGGGCGUGCGGAACUCAGGGUGGAGCGGUGAAAUGCGUAGAUAUCCUGAGGAACACCGGUGGCGAAAGCGGCGCGCUGGACCUCUUCUGACACUGAAUCGCGAAAGCUAGGGGAGCAAACGGG
rnacentral:rRNA from 1 species